rnacentral:snRNA from 1 species
GGAUGAGAGGGCAAUAUGGCGGUAACAUCAUUCACCCCAGUGAUCAUGAAGUUGGUUUGGCUGAUCUGGCUUCCUCCCUCAUGGAUCCAUGCAUCUAUCCUGAAGCUGCAUGUCAGCAGGAGACCUUCCCUGAUGGAGGAGGACUGCUGUUCCUUUGAGGGUCUUUGAGUGGCUGUGCUGAACCUCCAAGCAGGCUCCUAAUAGUAUUUUAUAGAUGGAACAGUGGGUAACUCACGGAGUCUGUUUUGUCACUGCACAGAACUCUUGACCAUCUCUCCAAGUUGCUGUGUGGUAAUAUCU